CCAGACUCCUACGGGAGGCAGCAGUGGGGAAUAUUGGGCAAUGGACGCAAGUCUGACCCAGCAACGCCGCGUGAAGGAAGAAGGCUUUCGGGUUGUAAACUUCUUUUAAGGGGGAAGAGUAGAAGACGGUACCCCUUGAAUAAGCCACGGCUAACUACGUGCCAGCAGCCGCGGUAAUACGUAGGGGGCAAGCGUUAUCCGGAUUUACUGGGUGUAAAGGGAGCGUAGACGGCUAUGCAAGUCUGGAGUGAAAGGCGGGGGCCCAACCCCCGGACUGCUCUGGAAACUGUAGAGCUAGAGUGCAGGAGGGGCAGGCGGAAUUCCUGGUGUAGCGGUGAAAUGCGUAGAUAUCAGGAGGAACACCGGUGGCGAAGGCGGCCUGCUGGACUGCAACUGACGUUGAGGCCCGAAAGCGUGGGGAGCAAACAGGAUUAGAUACCCGGGUAC
rnacentral:rRNA from 1 species